ACUUAAAAAGAAUAUGCAAACAUACAUUGCAUUUUGUUCAGUUGAGGUGCAUAUUAAUUAUAAUGCUUAUGGAACAGUUGCCUUAUAAGUGUCAGUGCAUUUGGUAGCAAACAAUGGUCAACUGUGCAUUUGGGUUUUCAGUUAGAUGACAAAGAGAAAAAGAAAGUCCUAAAAUUUGUUUUUAUUCAUUAAAAAGCAUGUAAAAUGAUUCCUGGACAGGAAUCUGAUGAUUGCUUAGUACUAAACAAUAUUGCAAAUGUUUAUUUGAAGUAGAGGCUUGACUCACCAAUUAAGACUUAAUUCUUUAAAUUCAUUGAGUUUUGCUCCUUGUUACGUGGCCAAACACACAUCCAAUUUGGGUUAGGUGGCAAAGCACAGUAAGAGCUAGCCUUCUCUCCUGAUUGGAUAUCAGGUUCCUUUUGUUGGUUAUAGGCGAUUUAAUUAUGAACUUCAACUUACAGCUUCAAGCUACAGACUUUUAGAGAAUGCUCUUAUCUUUUGGUGGCAUUAUUUAUCCAG
rnacentral:misc_RNA from 1 species